UCGAAGGGGGCUAGCGUUGCUCGGAAUCACUGGGCGUAAAGGGCGCGUAGGCGGCGUUUAAGUCGGGGGUGAAAGCCUGUGGCUCAACCACAGAAUGGCCUCGAUACUGGGGACGCUUUGAGUAUGGUAGAGGUUGGUGGAACUGCGAGUGUAGAGGUGAAAAUUCGUAGAUAUUCGCAAGAACACCGGUGGCGAAGGCGGCCAACUGGACCAUUACUGACGCUGAGGCGCGAAAAGCUGGGGGAGCAAAACAG
rnacentral:rRNA from 1 species